rnacentral:rRNA from 1 species
AAACCUGAGAAACCCGAAAGAUCGAAUGGGGAGAUUCAUCGCCAGCGGCGUUUGCUUCCGUGUGGUUUCGCGAUGACGCGGGAUUUCGGUUCCGUGGCACGCUGCCACUGCGGCACGUCGGACGUCGUCGGUGUGCACUUCUCCCCUAGUAGGACGUCGCGACCCGUUGGGUGUAGGCCUACGGCCCGUACGGUCGCCUGCCGCGUCGCGUUCACGCGCGUUCACGUGGCAGACCUACGGUGUUCCUGGCCUACUGCCCGGCGGUAUGGAACGCUUCAAUUGGUAUCGAGCCGCACAUUGCGUGCGUUCCGGCUCCUCGGCAGGCUCGUCCCGCUCGGAUUUACGGACCUGGCGCCGUUGCCGGGUGCUCGACGUGGCCGUUAAAGCCGAGGAUGUCCUCGAACGGGCUCUCUCGAAAGGAUACCGGUCGGCGACGCUACUGCUUUGGGUACUUU